GGGAAACACCAACAGGGCUUGGGGAAGGAGCAACCCAAGACCCUGAAAUCCCAAGGCUCC
rfam:Chelonia mydas contig153772, whole genome shotgun sequence.